AGGGCACCACCAGGAGUGGAGCCUGCGGCUUAAUUUGACUCAACACGGGGAAACUUACCCGGCCUGGACACUGGAAGGAUUGACAGAUUGAGAGCUCUUUCUUGAUUCAGUGGGUGGUGGUGCAUGGCCGUUCGUAGUUGGUGGAGCGAUUUGUCUGGUUAAUUCCGAUAACGAACGAGACUCUAGCCUAUUAAAUAGGCUCCCGGCUUUUAAACGCCGGGAGGACUUCUUAGAGGGACAGGCGGCGGUUCAGCCGCACGAAAGAGAGCAAUAACAGGUCUGUGAUGCCCUUUGUUGUCCGGGGCCGCACGCGCGCUACACUGAAGAGAUCAGCGUGCUUUAUGUUCCUGCUCCGACCGGAGUGGGGAACCCAGUGAACCUUCUUCGUGAUUGGGAUAGAAGAUUGUAAUUAUUCUUCUUGAACGAGGAAUUCCCAGUAAAUGCGAGUCAUAAGCUCGCGUUGAUUACGUCCCUGCCCUUUGUACACACCGCCCGUCGCUACUACCGAUUGAACGAUUU
rnacentral:rRNA from 1 species